rnacentral:lncRNA from 1 species
AUGGCCUCAGUGGUCGCCGUGAGUUCAAUCGUUGGUACCAAAAAAUAUAUACAUAUAAAAAAGCAGUAGCCUUGUGGUCAAGACCUUUGGUUGUAGGUGUUAAAGGAGCUGAAGAAGAUAAUCCCACAGUUGAAGAAGCUUCAACAUUUCUGUUUAUUUAAAGAGGCACUGUUAAUAAGCUAUCAAAGGAAAUUUUUUUUUCUUUCACUAGCCUUUUCUGGGAAAGAAAAAUAAUGUUCCCCCUGCUCAUGGCUGUCUUGUUUAUUUUGCACUAGAAGCAGUCUGGAGGGAAAAAUGUCUGCCUUAAAUGAAUUUUAAAUGGAUUAAAAACAGAAAAUGUACAAUUGAGGCAGAGUAUUGUUAAUAUUGGUUUCUUGCCUUCCCUUUCUCCCUCAGUUUCAUAGACUACAACUAAUGGUUGUCUGGAAGGAUUGGAAAUUUGAACCUUGGCCAUGGUCUCUAUAAGCUUCGAUUUCUAUUGUAGACCUGCUGAGUGAGAAGAAGGACAUGAUGGUUUCCCAGGUCCUUGGUCCUAUCCAGCAGUUAAUGUUGAGGAUUCUAACCUGGUGUGUAUACCACCACCACCACCACCCCCAAGAAAAGGAAGAGUCUUAAUUCUAAUGGAUUAAGAGAUGCAUGUGUUUAAAGAGAUUCCCUAGUAGUCUCAUUCUCAUGGUCCUUCCAACACCACCACCAGGUGUC